rnacentral:snRNA from 1 species
GUGCUCACUUUGGCAGCACAUAUACUAAAAUUAGAACAAUACAGAGAAAAUUAGCAUAGUACCUGCGCAAGGAUGACACGCAAAUUCGUGAAGUGUUCCAUAUUUUA